UACCAGCACCCCGAGUGGUCGGGACGAUUAUUGGGCCUAAAGCAUCCGUAGCCGGUCCUGCAAGUCUUCCGUUAAAUCCAGCUGCUCAACAGAUGGGCUGCGGGGGAUACUACAGGGCUAGGAGGCGGGAGAGGCAAGCGGUACUUUAUGGGGUAGGGGUAAAAUCCGUUGAUCCAUUGAAGACCACCAGUGGCGAAGGCGGCUUGCCAGAACGCACUCGACGGUGAGGGAUGAAAGCUGGGGGAGCAAACCGGG
rnacentral:rRNA from 1 species